CCCAGCCCCCUCCCUCAACCGCGUACGUCUCGCUCCAAUCCCCGUCGAUCACGCUCUAGCUCCCUCCGCCACUCUUCUCGAUCCCCAAUUUUCUCCCCCUUCUCUCUUCUGCCCACUCGCCUCGCUCUCGGCCUCCCCCUCCGCUCCUCCACCCCCAAACAUCCAGCGUCGUUCGCGCCCCAACUCCCCUCGUCCUCCGCGGCCGCGAUGGCGGCGUCCAUGGCGUCGUCGUGGGGGCGAUCGAUCCGGGAGACGGUGUUGGAGACCGUGGCGUCGUACCACCAACAACAGCCUCACCUACACCAGCAGCGAGCUCUUCCGUUCGUACAUCGUACACCAUGUGGUGGUACAAACUCCCCAAUAUAAUAUUUGUAGACAUCAUGAACAUGGUAUGUGGUUGCGUCGAUAAAACAUUCUCUGACAGGUAUGCAUCACAUUAACUGAGAUAAUGUUGUGUCACACUUUCGCACAAGUACUAACAUGAGUACAGAGCAUGGUCACCUUUGUUCUUUUAAAAUGCUAAUGCAGUAGAGAGCAUGGCCGUUGGGUGAGUCAAUGACUACUAGGAUGUCUCACCGCAAAUCUGAAACAGGUUACAAAUUGGUUAAUCAAGGGAUCCGACUAGGAUUUUGAGUGUCCAGAAGUCUCCCAAGACCCUACAUUGUUUGAGGGAGUGUACAAUAAGAAUGAACCUUGAUCCUCUUGAAGAGCACGCUGAUCAAGAAAAUUGGGAGGUACAACCUAGUCACUUAGAUGCUAUACUUGUGUUAGCACGAUUUCAGAGUUUAGGAGAAGAAAUAAACAUUCAUAUUUUUACUUCCACUCGUUAUUCCGAUCAUUUUUUGCCAUGAUUUUUACUUCAAAA